rnacentral:rRNA from 1 species
GUUUGAUCCUGGCUCAGAACGAACGCUGGCGGCAGGCUUAACACAUGCAAGUCGAACGGUUGUAGCAAUACAGCAGUGGCGCACGGGUGAGUAACGCGUGGGAACAUCCCUUUCAGUUCGGAAUAACAGCGGGAAACUGCUGCUAAUACCGAAUAUUCUCUUCGGAGGAAAGAUUUAUCGCUGAAAGAUUGGCCCGCGUCAGAUUAGCUAGUUGGUGAGGUAAUGGCUCACCAAGGCUCCGAUCUGUAGCUGGUCUGAGAGGACGACCAGCCACACUGGAACUGAGGCACGGUCCAGACUCCUACGGGAGGCAGCAGUGGGGAAUAUUGGACAAUGGGCGAAAGCCUGAUCCAGCCAUGCCGCGUGAAUGAUGAAGGCCUUAGGGUUGUAAAGUUCUUUUGCCAGGGAAGAUAAUGACGGUACCUGGAGAAUAAGCACCGGCUAACUUCGUGCCAGCAGCCGCGGUAAUACGAAGGGUGCUAGCGUUGUUCGGAAUUACUGGGCGUAAAGCGCGCGUAGGCGGUAAUGCAAGUCAGAGGUGAAAUCCCAGGGCUCAACCCUGGAACUGCCUUUGAAACUGCAUUGCUGGAGUGUGUGAGGGGAUAGCGGAAUUGCUAAUGUAGAGGUGAAAUUCGUAGAUAUUAGCAGGAACACCGGUGGCGAAGGCGGCUAUCUGGCACACAACUGACGCUGAGGCGCGAAAGCGUGGGGAUCAAACAGGAUUAGAUACCCUGGUAGUCCACGCUGUAAACGAUGAGUGCUAGCUGUUGGGUCCGUAGGACUCAGUGGCGCCGCUAACGCAUUAAGCACUCCGCCUGGGGAGUACGGUCGCAAGAUUAAAACU